rnacentral:rRNA from 1 species
AAUUGGGCAAACCGGGGCCUUUGUGCGUUCAGCUCGAGUCGUGAGAUAAAGGGUAAGGUCCCGCAACGAGCGAACCCUCGUCCUUAGUUGCUAUAAAGUUCGGCUGAGAACUCUAAGGAGACUGCCUACGCAAGUAGGAGGAAGGUGAGGAUGACGUCAAGUCAUCAUGGCCCUUACGUCCAGGGCUACACACGUGCUACAAUGGGGUAUACAAAGAGCAGCAAUACGGUGACGUGGAGCAAAUCUCAAAAAUGCCUCCCAGUUCGGAUUGUAGUCUGCAACUCGACUACAUGAAGUUGGAAUCGCUAGUAAUCGUAGAUCAGCUAUGCUACGGUGAAUACGA